rnacentral:lncRNA from 1 species
AUGCACAUAUGUACACAUGCACGUAUGCACCCCUGCAUGCACGCGUGCAUCUACUGCCUCCUGGUGGCUCUUCUCGCUCGUGGGGAGAAGGGCACCCGCACAAGCCCACCCGAGAUGGAGGUCUCAAUCUAUCUCUCCUCCCCAACGCCUCCCCGAGAGCCAAUGAAAAAAGUGCAAGGAAACUUUGCAACAGUAACAAAGUCUGAAGAUACAGUAUCCCAAGUCCAGGACUCCCUCCCCACAUCUAGGACUCCCCCCACACAUGCAAAGAAAGGGGGAGGCUUCUCUGGGCCCAGGCUUGGCCGUUAGCAUGUGGAAGGAAGCAUUCGCUUUGCUCUAUUUGAUCGCAAGUUCCAUUUCCUAAGCAACAGAUCAACCAAGACUGAAUUAUACGAGGUGUCCCACACCCAUAAUUCAUCCCUUUCGAGAAAGGUGGAGAAAAGAGAUUUUCCUGACUCCAAAUCCAGUUAUCUAGGGUUGCCUCAGUUUAAGGUGCAUGCGAUCUUGUUUGGUGCAGGCUUACCUUCCCCAAAGGGAUCUCUCCGGAAGUAUCCUUGGAAAAAAGUCCACUCCCACUGCUCAGGCAAUUUUUUUCAAGGGGAAAACCAGACCCUUUAUAGUUCCCCCCCACCACUCCCCAGAGGAUUAAGGAAGUGAGUUCUCCUUCUUGCAGAUUUGGAAAUAACCCAGAGAGGCUUUUAUUAUAAGGGGCAUUAGCCCUGGUGGGAGGACUAAAGUUGAAAUUCCCAACUUUUCUUUUUUGAGGUUUCUUUUCAAAGUAAAGCAAAUUCUAACAUUUAAGAUAGAAAAUAAUAUAUAAUAGAAAGUAAUAUAUGUGAAUAUAAGAUAUAAAAUGAUAUAUGUAAAUAUAAGAGAAAAUAACAUAUAACAAAUAAUUGUGAAUAUAAGAUAUAAAAUAAUAUUUGUAAAUAUAACAAAAUAUUAUAUAUGUAAACAUAAUAUUCACAUAAAUAUAUUAUAUAAUAUAAUUAUAAGC